ACGCGUUGGGAGCUCUCCCAUAUGGUCGACCUGCAGGCGGCCGCGAAUUCACUAGUGAUUCGUAUUACCGCGGCUGCUGGCACGAAGUUAGCCGGGGCUUAUUCUGCGGGUACCGUCAUCAUCGUCCCCGCCAAAAGAGCUUUACAACCCGAAGGCCUUCAUCACUCACGCGGCAUUGCUGGAUCAGGGUUGCCCCCAUUGUCCAAAAUUCCCCACUGCUGCCUCCCGUAGGAGUCUGGGCCGUGUCUCAGUGCCCAUGUGACUGGUCGUGCUCUCACACCAGUUACUGAUCGAAGGCUUGGUGGGCCGUUACCCCGCCAACUACCUAAUCAGGCGCACAGCCAUCUUCAAGCAAUAAAUCUUUAAUUAUAAAAUGAUGCCAUUCUAUAAUACUAUGGGGUAUUAAUCCGAAUUUCUUCGGGCUAUUCCCCACUCGAAGGAAGGUUCUGUACGUGUUCCGCACCCGUUUGCCGGUCGCCACCAAAUAUUGCUAUUCGUGCUGCCCCUCGACUUGCAUGUAUUAAGCCUGCCGCUAGCGUUCAUCCUGAGCCAUGAUCAAACUCUAAUCGAAUUCCCGCGGCCGC
rnacentral:rRNA from 1 species